AUAUAUAUGUGUGUGUGUGUGUGUGUGUGUGUUUUCUCUCUUUUUUACUUGAGAGCUUUUCUUUGUUCCUUUUUACUUGCCGACUAAAAAGGACCGGAAGGAGUAUAUGAUAAAUGUGGGUUGAGCAACAAACCUCAACCAUUAAGUUGGAGGGGCUUGAACUCGCGACCUUUGAAGUCUCUGCUACUACUACUAUUACUACUACCAUGAUGAUGAUAAAGAAGAUGAUGAGGAGGAUGAUGAUGAUGCUUGUUAAUGGCAAUGCUGCACUUUUGUCUUCUCGUGGCUGUGAUGAUUUGACAUAGAAGAGCAUCAAGAUCGAGUGGCGUGGCAGCUAUUGCUGCAGCCUUUGAUUCAGUGUUUAUCUCUGAUUAUAAAAAAAAAGGUCAGAUCUGAGCCUAUUGCCUCUUGGUUUCUCAGUAAAUGAUGAAGGCAAAGAAAGAAGGCAAUGCUAUCUAAGGUCCAAACUUCAAUUAUGUGUGUGUGUGUGUGUGUGGUCUGUGAUGUGUUUGUCCAUGGCUGGAGACAGCUCCUUGGUUGCUAUAAAUCGGAAGAGUGACAUAUCAAGUCCUCUCGCAUGCUAUAUUUUCUUGCAUUGUUUCAUAAUUGUUCUUGUUCUGAAAGCGUGUGAAGACCACAUUCACAUUAGGAUGAUGGUAACUCUUUCCUUUGCCAAGUGUGAGAACAUUGGUUAAGGUCAGUGGCUUUGGUGGUUAUUGCUGCAGCCAUUCGUUGAUUCUGCCUUAUCUUUGAUAAGAAGGUUUGAUCAAUGUUCCUUUUUCUUUGAGGAAAUUAACAAUGACUCUGAUAUUAUUCAAUUUCUUAAGAAGGCAUGGGGUUCAGUUUGUCCUUUUUUUAUUGAUUUGUGGUCUCUCAAUUUUAUUUUGUCUUUAGAGGCAGUGAUGAUUCACCCUUGAAUCCCUUCAUUAAAUUUGGUACUUAUUAAUAUGAAUAUGUAAGUCUGUGUCUUUCACACUAUUAGCUUAAGCUAUUGUGUUGAAUCCUUAUAUACAUUUGGCCGAACUGAGUUCUGCGGGUCUUUGCCUUUGCUAUGCAUCUUAGAAGCCAAAAUUUAGGUUGCGUUUGGAUCAUGGAAACAAGAAUUGAAAAAGAAAUGGCAGGGCUGAUCACUACAGCAGCCAUAUUUGGUUCGCAUUUUGUAUUAAUGUGAUGAAAAGGGUGGAUCUGAGCCUUGGCUUUCUUCUUUGUAGUACAUGGAAGCGUGGCAAAUAAGUGAUGUGUUUAGUGGAAGUAGGCAAAAUAAUGAAGAGUGUUAUUUCAUAAAUCUCCAUGAAAUCUUCAGUAGUGACAAUUUCUGACCUUUAAUAAUUGUACAUAUCUUAUUUAUCUUCUAUGCUAGGUGACUUUUUAUUGAGAAAAUUGUAUUCCUGAAUUAGUGACAGUAGAUUAAUUUUUCGCUUCCACGGUGCUCUUUCAUAAGUGAGAAGGCUAGAUAAACCAAGCUUAGAUAUCAUGUUGUAAAUUUUCUACCGAAUACUUUUUUAAGUACUUCUAUUUCUUGUCUAUAACUCUCCCCUUGAAGAGCUUCCAUUUUUCUUCAGAGGGCAUUAACCUUAUUUGUAAGGACAUGUCCAGACCAUCUUAAUAAUCAGUUUUUUCUUAUUAGUAAUAGCCUAAUAGGUGUCACUCUCAUUUUAUUUUGGAUAAAUUCAUUUAUUAAUCGGUUCUUCCUACUUACACAUGACGCCAUGUUAACAUUCUCAGCCAUGACUAUUCUUUAUGUAUAUUAUUUUUUGACCACCCAACAUUUAGGCCCUUGGAUUAUACUUGGCCUAACAACUAUUCUAUAAAAUUUCAAUCUAAGAGGUAUUCUAUGGCCACGUAAAACUUUGGAAGCUCUUUCUUAAUUUUAGUCAUCUUGCUUGGAUACUAUUUAUGACAUCUUCUGUAAGUUCCCUGUUAUCUUAGAUUAGAGAGCUUAGGUAUUGAAAAUUUCUACCUCUACCUAUCUCAGUGUCAUCCCUUUGGUUUAGAUAAAUAAGAUAGUAGUAGUUUGAUUUCAGCUCUCCGGUCACACACACGUCUUUGGAAAUAUGAAAUUACAUAAUAACCUCAUAAAAUUUCAUGUCUCUGGACAAAAAUCAUGCACAUUGUGUUGGAGGAGAGUACUGUGUGACUAGAUGGCAGCCAUCCCUAAUACUUGUUUAAAUGGCAUGGCAGCUAAGGUGAGGGGUGACUCUCCAUGCUGCUUCUGCAGCCAUCCCUAAUACUUGUUUCAGCAUUAUGUUUGAUUCAAGGUCAGAUCUGAGCUUGAUGUUUGAAGUUGUUAUUAUUGUUAUUGCUGCUGCUGCCGCCUGGCAGUCUUCUUUGCUCACUGUGUUGCCAUUGUGGCGUAAGUUAGUGAGUGCCUUUGCCGUUCAAGUUGCAAAGGGGAAUAACUUCCUUCUCUUAUUCUAUGUGCAGAUUCUUCCUAAUAGUUCCGCUUGCACAUGGAUUGUAUUCAUGCAUGUUUGUGCAUAUGGUGGCACUCUUUUUCCCCCAAGAUCUUCCUUUUUUUGUUAUAGUUAUGUCCGGGAGUGGCGCAACUUCCAAGUGCCACUUUUCAGCUGUUUGUUAUUUCACUACCACUGGAAAUAGCAGUUGGAAGGUGCAGUUGACAUUCUUUGUCGUUCUUUCUGGAUUGAGUGAAUCAUAUUCUAUUGUUGUAGAAGCCUUCUAUAGGACUUAAAUAUGUUUAAAUCCUUGUGUCCUAGAGGCUGUGAUGAACAACCCUAUGCCAAUUGUGGCGGGGCAGGUUGUGUUGACCUGCAGCCAUAUGUUGCUAAGAGAUUUCAGUAAGUUGGCACUACAUUUUCAUUUUCUUCUUCUUCUUCUUCUUCUUAUUAUUAUUAUUAUUUUCUAUCCUUUGGGAUAAUAGCCAAUGUGACUGAUAUUAAAGGGUGGUUCUGAGCCUUUCAAUUCCUUCCAUAUUUACAUCUUCUAAAAUUCAGAAUAUUUCUUGGUUUGAUGAAUCUUGUUUUUGAUAAGAAUUGUUAGAUUUUAUAUUUUGUACUAGUGAGCCUUAUAUGGGUGCUACAUAACUUAGGGGUCUUACACCAAAAAAUCUCAAGACUUGGUGUCUCAACCUUUAUACUACUCAUAUAUAAACCCAUUACACUUCUAUCACAUAACCGAUGUGGGACUAUAUUUCCAACAAGAAGUAGUUAAGAAAUUCGUCAGGUGUGAGCACAGGUUUUUGUUGAGCUUGCGGUUAUGCUCCAUAGUUGUGCAUGUUCUUAAAUUCAAUUAAAUGCGGAGUGCUUGUUGCCAAUUUGUCAAAAAUAAAAAAAAAAUAAAAAACUGCUAGCCCUUGGUCAUUGUCAGAUGCAUACUUGUGAACACACUCACAUUAGAGGCGAUGAGGAUACGCUAAGCACCAGUGCAUGUAAAUUUUGCAUGUUUGGAGGUGAUUGAUGUUUUACUGACCGCAUCUCUUGACCAUGUUGAUCUCUCAGUUAUGUAAAUGGCGUAACAGCUUGGAUGGCCAGUUACCUAGCUGGUAACCGCUGCAAACUUUACGUACCUGAGUGCCAAUGCAUUGGUUGAGCUAUGGUGAUUGGUUGGAAUCAGGUGACUUGCAGAAGGCGAAUCUGAGCCUUGUUUUAUUUUUGUUGCAAGUAUUUGUGACUUAUAUUUUUCCAAAAGAAGCACUAGUUUUCUUGUUUAUUUCAAAAUAUGUUGGCAUGAUUUAAUAGUGGACAUUGUUUGACGCAUGAAAUUACAUAAUAUUAAUUUUGAUUCCGGUCCGUUCAUUACAUUUUCAUACAUCUUUGAAAACAUGAAAUUACAUAAUAUCCUCAUAAAAUUUUAUGUCUAUAGAAAAUCAUGCACAUUGUGUUGGAGAAGAGUGUUAUGAUCAGCUGUGAUGAUUUAACAUCAAAGAGGGUUAGAUUUAAAUCGCGGGGCAGCUAAGGUCAAUCAAAGGGAUCUGUGGCUUAGAUGAAAGCUGUUGUUUUGGUAAAUGAGACAACAUCGAGCCUUGUUCACAAUAUGUGAAAUUUGAUUGCAGUUGGAGGUGGGAUCAAUCAAAUUGAUCAUAUUUGUAAACAGUAAAAUGAAGACUUGCCCAAAUUUGUGAUGACAGCAGCUAUGGUUUUGGCUGUGGUUUCAACACAUGAGAGAACGUUCAGUUAAGCCUGAAGAAAUUCUCAAGCUUGUUAACACUCUUGUACAUCAAUUGUUUUCUCUUGUUUAUUUGAUUUGUUGCACAUACUUGCUGAUAAAAUAUCCAUUGAGUCAAUAAUUUAAUAAAAAUGCUGGCCAUAUCCACUAUUUACUAUA